CCUACGGGAGGCUGCAGUGGGGAAUUUUGCGCAAUGCUCGUAAGAGUGACGCAGCGACGCCGCGUGAAUGACGAAGGCCUUCGGGUCGUAAAGUUCUUUCGACAGGGAAGAAAAUUCCUAUAAGUAACUGUUUAUGUAUUGACGGUACCUGUAUAAGCAGCACUGGCUAACUCCGUGCCAGCAGCCGCGGUAAUACGGAGGGGGCGAGCGUUGUUCGGAGUGACUGGGCGUAAAGCGCACGUAGGCGGUGUUGUAAGUCAUUAGUCAAAUACUAGAGCUCAACUUUAGUAAGGUUGGUGAUACUAUAAUACUAGAGUAUGAGAGAGGAGUGCAGAAUUCCAGGUGUAGCGGUGAAAUGCGUAGAUAGCAGGAGGAAUACC
rnacentral:rRNA from 1 species